rnacentral:tRNA from 1 species
GCGAGGGUGCCCCAGUCUGGCCAACGGGGCGGGACUUAGGAUCCCGUGGCGAAGGCCUUCGCAGGUUCGAAUCCUGCCCCUCGCA